rnacentral:sRNA from 12 species
UGGGCUGGCCACGAGGCCCUGGUUCACCCACUGGCGGGGGCUAUCUCC